UGAUUCACGGCGGACUGCAUCUCCUCCCGCAAUCCGUCUAGGCCCUCCUCGACCCUUUGUUCAACCCCCUCGAACCUUUGGUCGACCUCCAUGAACUUGUCCAGCCCAUCGGCAAUGGCCAACUCCACUUUGGCCAGCCUAGUUUCCAACUCCUCAAUGGCGUCCCUGGAGCGAGACCUUUGGCCCUUAGAUUUGUCUCUUCCAGCUUGGGUGA
rnacentral:lncRNA from 1 species